AAAUAUGAAGUGAUAAAUCACAAUUAGUUUCGACCUAAUUAUAGGUGUAAAACACCCUUAUUUU
rnacentral:tRNA from 1 species